UGUUGUCCUUUUUUCAUGCCCUGGUCCCAUUCCAUGCCAAGGUGCCGCACACUCAUACAACGAGGGGUGACCGCCCCCAUUCUCCGAAAAAAGCAAGCAAUUUUGGCUGCAGUUUCAUCGUAAAGUUCGACAACUUUGGAAAACUCCGGGUAGUUUGGUGCCAGUUAGCCACGAACUUAGUACAGGUAGAGACGAGUUUUAAUUUUUGUCUCACCCGGUGUUUUUUUUUUUCAAAAAAAAAGGGGAUAACUGAAGUCUUUCACAGUUUCGGUCUCACAGGCUCAGGCUCACGACUGAAAAAAAGGACUAUCAUCAACAUCAUCAUCGUCGUCAUACCACCAGCGUAGAAGUGUAGUAGUACAUCAAGAAUAAGUUUAUACUAAGAAUAAGAACAAGAAUAACGGGCAAGAACUGAAGAAGAAGUGUUAGAAGAAAGUUGUCGACUACUUUGCGAACAAGUGCCAGCCAAACAGGCCAACCCGCCCUUGGAAACCGCACGCCACUGCCUGCGACUUGGGAAAAACCCAGUUCAAUCUUGGUGAAAAGUUGGCUCAGAAAAGUUUCGCGAUUUAUUUCAAAGUUUUCGCCUUUGCCUACUAUAAAUGAUGAGUAAAAUAUUGGAAACUUUGUUUUCAAAAGUUUUCUUCAAAUCGGUGUUUUCCGCGAAACUGGCUAGUGACGACCAUUGAUUUCCGUAAAGUUUUUCAACGGUGUGUAUUUUGAAAGUGUGAAAAUAACGUGCCCCGAUCUUCAAAUUGUUGUUAGGUGCUUGUUGUUGUUAUUUUGACCUUAAUCGGUGGUCAAAGAUGUACUCAAAAAAUGGGAAAAUUUGCUAUUGUUGUUAAAUAAUGAGUUUGGGCUCGUCCAAUAUAUCCUUUUACUGUCUCCUGUUCCAUCUUAGAUUUACUUUUGACUUUUGAGUUUGGUUUUCCUUUUUCCGAAUUUUUUAACGUAUAAUUUUGGGCAGCUCUAAAUCUAAUCUACUUGGAUUUAAUAGAAGAAGUGGGAGUGAAAAUAUAGUCAGUGUCAAGUGCUCACUCACGAAACGUAUCCAUGUGUCCAGAGGGAGAGGGAUCUUGUAUUAUCCAGGUCCUGUCGAAAAUUUGUGUAAUUUUAGCAAGAAAGUUGAUGUGUCUCGUCUAGUUCAUCGCGAUAGAAUCCAGGAAGGAGGCCAUGAAGUUUUUGACCCAAGGUUCUCGAAAACAUUUGAGUGUUACAUACGCAAUAGGGGUAGUAGCUACCCUCAGCCAUGAACUACGAAGUGGGUUUUGAAUGAAUAGUGGGUGUCGUUUUAUAGUAAAAUUUCGAGUGUAUUGAAAACUCUAGUGAUUGACGUUGGUGAUUUGUGGGAAAGCCAUAGGUUCGUUUUUCAACUCCAUGGGAACCUAAGGGUGUAAGGGGAUUUGUCACUAUUGCGAGAUAACCAGAAACUUCUCCCUAAAUAUUCAUAGAAAAUGGCACUGACGAAGAGACCACUGGCUAAGGAGUCUAGCUUCGAGAAUACACUGAAAAAUGAGGAUCAAGAAGUGGCCUUCAAGCGAAAGAAACGCUCUAGUAGGGACGAAGACUUUUCCAAACUGGACGAUAAAACCAAUGCACUUCAGAAGAAAUACAAUCUAUCACCGUCGAACAAUUGCAAUCCAAAUGGGCGAAUAGGUCAAAAUUCAAAUAAAUUGAACAAUAAUGACGAGCAGGAUGACGAAACUCUGAUUCGUGAAACCCAUGCGGCAUUGAAGAGUCUGUCAGGAAGUUGGUCGGACGCUCGCAGUUCAUUUUAUCGUUUGAACGAACAAGAGGAAAAUCCACCUCCGUUUCAGAACCUGUUCGAGGAGAAGAACAAACCGAUUCCUCCAUCGUCAGCGGCUAGUAGUCAGUAUGGUAAGAAUCUAAUGAAUUUCAAGCGUGAACCGGAUUAUUUUAUGUAUUCGAGUCAAAAGCAGAACGAUUCAAUGCGACUCAACUUCCAAACGAAAAUUUCAGAGUAUGCCGACUUGAAAUCGACCGAUUCGAAUCAAUCGGAAGACGGACGAAAGAAAUUCGAAUCCGUAGGAAUUGGAAAAACUCCCUUCUCACAGUCAUCUGCCUUUAAGCCCCCCACAGAUAUUAAACGCAACGGAACAAUCGGCGGAUAUCCUUCAAGUCUGAAUCCUUACACAGCUGAAUCCGCUUUCAUGAACUAUCCACCGCCUCCCGUUCAACCUGGCCCGGCGCUUAGUUUGGGUGGUAGCACUCUUGCAUCAAGCGAUUUAAUCAGCUCGAAAACGCUUAAGGACGAUGAUGACAGCGUAAAAACCAUCGAAACACCUGACUCGAAACAAUAUACGAUCCUUCAACCCGCCGGUGUUGGAAGCAGGGCAGCAUCUGUUAUGCAGGAUAUCGCUCGCGAGGGUGUCGUCUCGGUAUCAGCGGUUAGCAGUAGCAGUAGUUCAAACGUAAAUGGUAAUAGUCCUGGUGGGAGUGUAGCAGGCGGAAGUAUCGUCGGUGGAGUGGUUUCGUCAACGACACCAAAUGACAAAAUUCAAUUUGAUCAUCAUCAUCAUACGCAACAACCAUCGUUCUCACCUGGUAGCUUGAAUCGAGAUGGAAGCAAGUGCCCUACACCUGGUUGUGUUGGACAAGGUCAUGUAACGGGACUUUAUUCGCAUCAUAGAAGUCUAUCGGGAUGCCCCAAGAAGGAUAAAGUAACACCUGAAUCUCUUAGUAACCAGAUCCUGUUGACUGACAUCCGUAACCAAACUCCGGGGGUACAAAAGGCGGAUAUAAAAUCCUUGUAUUCUCUAGGCUCAUCGAGUAACGAACCAUUGAUGUCUUUAAAUUCUAGAGACGAGAUUCGUUUGAAAACCGAAAGAGAUACUUCCGAUAAGUCCAGUCGAGUUGACUUGAAUGACACAUCGUCAAAAUUGAAUCAUAACUCGUUUAUUAAUAACAAUAGCAACAAUAACAAUUCUUCAAAUUGUCUUAAUAAUAAUAAUAGUAAUAACACCAACAACAAUAGCAAAUGUUCUAAUAAUGCGCUUAGUUUGAAUAGUAACACAAGUAGCAACAAUUUGACUAGUAUCAGUAGUAGUAAUAACAACAAUAAUAGCAACAACAACAAUAUUCCCUUAAUUAAGACCGAGCUUAGCCAAACGACGAUUAAAUCAGAAAUAAAUUAUCCAAAAAGUCCGACAAAUAUCGCGGCAACUCCCCAGCAACAUCAAACAUAUUUAAACAGUGAAUCAAGUCAGAACUCUUUCACUGCAACGACUGAAUCAAAUCAAUCGAAAAGUAGCAGUUUGGCAAACGGUGGUGGUGGUGGUGGUGGCGGACAACCCCCGCCCUCGUCAUCUCAUACGACGAAUGGUGACUCAUUACAUUCGUCUCAUUUAUCGAAUCAACAACGGACAAAUGACAUGCUCCGAGGCCCGAAUCCACAGAUGCCACUUCCAGGUGGGGCUCAGGAGAUGAACGGCUUCGUCAGUCUUCCCAUGAAUGAUUCUGGCAAUACACAGGAAGCACAACAGCAUCCGCGAAAUACUUUUGAAACGUCGAACGGCCUGAUGAUGGGUGGUGCCACACAUAUGAACAUCGAUGAUCCCUAUCGGGAUCAUCAGAUGCGGUAUGCCCAAAUGGGCGAUAUUGGUACCAUUACGAAACCGACUGUUUCCUAUAACAGUGACAUGUUGACAAACCGAUCCUCCUAUGAAACAUCAAUCAAUACUUCCUCCAAUCGACCCUCUGCCUAUGAUCCUAAUUCUAAUACUACUUCCACUCCUAUUUCGACGGCUUUCGAGCGUUACGAUCCCAAUUGCGUGUCGCAAAGGACCAACAUGUACUCCUACCUGCAGUCAGCUUCUAUGGACGACAUUUCUAGCCAACAGAAGUACUUACAGGAACAACAACAAAUGGUGCAUGCUGGCGUACUCAAGACUGAGCAUGAUGAGAACAAUGGCCCUAUCUAUCCUCGCCCUAUGUACCAUUAUGAUCCUACGGUAGGACCACUUCCACCAGGAUUCUCGGCAAUAAAUCUUUCUGUUAAGGUGGCAGCAGCCCAGGCUGCUUUCAAGGGAGGAUCUCCCUCUCCUAAUGGACCUGUAAUAGAUCUUUCCACCUCGAGCGUAACAUCAUCAAGUCCACAUGGUUUCAAUUCACCCCAUUAUAGUCAACGAAUGGCCGGCAGCCCGCAACCUGGAUCCAGUCCUCAUUUAGCCAGUCCUCAAGUGCCAAGCCCACAAGGGCAGACGUUGGAUCUAAGUGUGACGCGAUUACCACACAGUACGGCAACUAGUCCACAGUAUGGUGCACAUCCUGACGGAUUAACUGGUCAUCCACAUGGUUUCCCAGGUGGGCCGAGGUCACCACAAACAGAGCCUGUCGAUUUCAGUGGACCUCCGAGACCUUUAGGUUUUGGCUUAGUAGGACAUAUCGGGGGACCUGGACCUUAUAGUAGAGAGUCAACACCGGAUAGUGGUGGAUCACAUUAUAUCGACAGCUACAGAGAUCCCAGCGGUUACAGUCCCCAUCCUGGCUAUGGAAUGGUGGUUCAAUCCGAUUAUCCCCCGGCCGGCUAUCAUGGCUAUGGUCCAACAGCAUAUCAGUGUAGUAAUCCGUAUGCAACUGCGGUUGGUCCUGGCGGAUAUCCGACACCCGUUUCCGGUGGUUAUUCUCCUAGUCCGGCCUCAUGUUAUGCCAUGCCUCCACCCCAACACAUCCCGCAACACGAUAAGACAAAGGACAGCUUGACAGGUUGUACGCGCAGCGAUCGAACCCACCUCCAAUCGCAUUCACAGGAAUUGAAAUGUCCGACACCUGGUUGUGAUGGUUCCGGUCAUGUGACGGGUAACUACUCAUCACAUCGCAGCUUAUCGGGUUGUCCACGUGCGAAUAAGCCCAAAAGUAAACCGAGGGAUGGACAAGAUUCAGAGCCAUUGAGGUGUCCGAUUCCAGGAUGUGAUGGAUCUGGACAUUCAACAGGAAAAUUUUUGUCGCAUAGAAGCGCAUCUGGUUGCCCGAUAGCGAAUCGAAAUAAAAUGCGCGUCCUGGAGAAUGGAGGAACUGUCGAGCAACACAAGGCAGCAGUCGCAGCAGCUACAGCCAUGAAAUUCGAUGGAGUCAAUUGUCCAACACCAGGAUGAUGUCCAACUGCUGCUCAAGGCAUCAAGAAACCCAAAUUCGAUGAAGUCACCAUGGUCUACCCGAAAGGAUAUACGGAUUACGCUACAUUUUGUUUCGGUGCCGAAUAUCUUCUCUAAGACUACGAA
rnacentral:misc_RNA from 1 species